rnacentral:rRNA from 1 species
GUAGGUGGCGAGCGUUGUCCGGAAUUACUGGGUGUAAAGGGCGUGUAGGCGGGCAGAUAAGUCAGAUGUGAAAUACCGGGGCUUAACCCCGGGGCUGCAUUUGAAACUGUAUGUCUUGAGUGCCGGAGAGGAAAGCGGAAUUCCUAGUGUAGCGGUGAAAUGCGUAGAUAUUAGGAGGAACACCAGUGGCGAAGGCGGCUUUCUGGACGGUAACUGACGCUGAGGCGCGAAAGCGUGGGGAGC